GUGCACUACGGCAUAUGAAGUCAGAUGACAUCAAACCUGGAUAACAGUUGCUGGACUCAAUGCUGACCGCUCAACAGUCGUUCGUUGGUGGUGGCCAAGGAUGUGUCUGCGCUACAAGGCUUCUGUAGAACACAUUUGGGAAAAAUGGCAAGUUUGUCUGAAGACAAUUCUCACUCGCUUCCACAAUCCACGCGUGCUC